GGGAGCCAUCAGCGGGUUUUCACAGCCCAGAAUCCUAAGUGAAUGGCCCUUGUCUCUCCAUCACCACCUGCCUCAACCUGACCUUUGUGUCUCCCCGCCCCCCACUUUCCUCUCCACCCAACCGGUCAGCUUCUCCCACCUUACUGUUCUGUGCCAACAGCCCUGCCCUCCUCCUCCCCGCCCAGACCCAGGUCCCAGGAGUGGAGUCGUCUCUGACUCUCCUCUGACACUGGGAUACAGGUUCACGCGAAGCCCUGUCCUGCUCCGGGGCUGCAACACCAGGCACCUUCAUUUCAGGUGACAGCACCUUCUGGAAGCUGGUUGAAGUCGGGCACUGCUUCCCCCACGGCUCUACCCUGUGCCAGGCUCUAUGUUGACUGUUCGAUCCUCAGUGAUGUGGUUUGAAGUUUGGAUCCACACACCAAUGGGCAAGAAAGAAUCCUGAAGAUGUUUUCGGGGGCAAAAUGGUGUUUUUAUUAAAGCUCAGGACAAGACCCAUGGGCAGAAAGAGCCACUCUGGGACCACAGAUGUUGGAACCGGGGGAGGUGGAGACAAAGGAAGUUCGCAAAAGGACUUUCAUAUGACAUAGAGAGGCAGAGACACAGGCAGAGGGAGAAGCAGGCUUCAUGCCAGGAGCCCGACGCGGGACUCAAUCCCAAGACUCCAGGAUCGCGCCCUGGGCCAAAGGCAGGCGCCAAACCACUGAGCCACCCAGGGAUCCCCCACCUCUAGGAAUAUUUUGAUGGAGACAUCAUGGGAAGCCCUUCUGAUCCCUGAAAUUCCUUGUUCCCAUUCAAAACAUUGCAAAU